UACGUAGGUGGCAAGCGUUGUCCGGAAUUACUGGGCGUAAAGUGUGCGCAGGCGGCACCGCAAGUCGAGUGUGAAAGCCCCGGGCUUAACUUGGGAAUUGCGCUCGAAACUAUGGUGCUGGAGUGUGGCAGAGGAAGGUGGAAUUCCACGUGUAGCGGUGAAAUGCGUAGAGAUGUGGAGGAACACCGAUGGCGAAGGCAGCCUUCUGGGCCAACACUGACGCUCAUGCACGAAAGCGUGGGGAGCAAACAGG
rnacentral:rRNA from 1 species